GUAUGAGCAGCAGCAGCGGCGCAGAAACUGCAGUCAGUCUCGAAAUACUAAUUAUGAGAGAGAGAAGCCCUCUGAUAGAUGAGCGAGGAUCGAUGUUCACUGAGAGAGAUCAGAUGAGACGCGUCUGUCCGAUGAUCAACGAACCAUGGGAGCACGUCCAUGAAGUGACCUGUAAUGCAACACUGCUGCUGCUGGCCUUCGACCUCACCCGUUGGAGACCCCACGGGCUGUGGAGCUGUCCACCACAGGGGUUUUAUUUGGACUUCUACGGUUCAGCCCCAUCCACUCGUGGCAUCUACUGUGAGAAAAGACAACUGUUUGAGGAGAAGAAGCAUCAGCCCUGCUCUCUGAAGCGUAGAUCCUUACGAUUGUUACUGCUCAAUGCAUCGCAACACAACAGUGACGCUUGCUGCAGCUGUGGAAUUAUAAGAAUGUAAAGAGCUGCUGAUUCGUCCUCAGCAUGCAAAAAGCUGGUUUACUGUACAUACAAACAGGAAUUGGGCCCUGUUGACAUCUGCGAUGAGGCUCAGUAUAUUUUAUACAAGGUAACAGCAGGCAGUCAAUCUACGUACUGUAUUUGAAGAUUAGAUUAGAUUAGAUAGAAAUGAUGAUGACAAAUAAGAAUAUACACCAGCAAAAAAAACUAAUACAAUCUAAUACAAGAAAUCUUAUCCCACUGAAGGAGGCAUGACAAUAUAGGUAUGGAAAGGCCUUAAAGGGUAAGUUCAGCCAAAAAUUUUAAUUCAGUCAUUUUCUACUCACGCCCAUGUCUCACGGUCCGAAAAAAAAGGCACUAGCGCUGCUAGGCACGCUAACCAUUUUAACUUGCUAAUGGAAGCUACAAUUAGCAGCAGUUAGAGGUGAUUCUGGUAAUUUGCUGCUCCCAUUUUUGUUAGGUGGCCAGUUGUUACAUAUUGCACCCUACUCUCAUUUAUUGUUGCUAAUGUUGUCCUGUUAUGUCUCACUUGCAAAAGAAAUUUUAACCUCAUUGUGAUGGUGAUAAGUUAAAUAAAGGUUGUAUAUAUUUAAGA